rnacentral:rRNA from 1 species
GGUUAGGUAUCACUUAGCUGAAUAAAAUAGGCUUCGUGAAGCGAACCCGGCGAACUGAAACAUCUCAGUAGCUGGAGGAAAAGACAUCAACCGAGAUUCCGUUAGUAGUGGCGAGCGAACGCGGACCAGGCCAGUGCCUGAAUUUCAACUAGUAGAAGUCUCUGGAAAGUGACGCCAUAGCGGGUGACAGCCCCGUAUACGAAAGUGAGAAUUCAGGACUCGAGUAGGGCGGAACACGUGAAAUUCUGUCUGAACAUGGGGGGACCACCCUCCAAGCCUAAAUACUCGUACAUGACCGAUAGCGAACUAGUACCGUGAGGGAAAGGUGAAAAGCACCCCGAUGAGGGGAGUGAAACAGUACCUGAAACGGAUUGCCUACAAGCAGUUGGAGGGCUUUUAUGGCCUGACAGCGUACCUCUUGCAUAAUGGGUCUGUGACUUAAUGUAUCAAGCAAGCUUAAGCCGAUAGGUGUAGGCGCAGCGAAAGCGAGUCUGAAUAGGGCGCCAGAGUUUGAUGUAUUAGACCCGAAACCCGGCGAUCUAGGCAUGACCAGGAUGAAGGUGCAGUAACAUGCACUGGAGGUCCGAACCGAUUAACGUUGAAAAGUUACCGGAUGAGUUGUGUUUAGGGGUGAAAGGCCAAUCAAGCCGGGAAAUAGCUGGUUCUCCGCGAAAACUAUUGAGGUAGUGCCUCGCACGAACACCUUAGGGGGUAGAGCACUGGAUGGGCUAGGGGGUCGCGAGAUCUACCAAACCUAACCAAACUCCGAAUACCUAAGAGUGAUAUGCGGGAGACAGACGGCGGGUGCUAAGGUCCGUCGUCAAAAGGGAAACAGCCCUGACCUACAGCUAAGGCCCCCAAAUCGUAUCUAAGUGGGAAAGCAUGUGGGACUUCCAAAACAACCAGGAGGUUGGCUUAGAAGCAGCCAUCCUUUAAAGAAAGCGUAACAGCUCACUGGUCUAAACAAGAGGUCCUGCGGCGAAGAUGUAACGGGGCUCAAGAUACGUGCCGAAGCUUAGGGUGUGCCACUUAUGUGGUACGCGGUAGCGGAGCGUUCCGUAAGCCUGUGAAGCGAUCUGGUAAUGGGUCGUGGAGGUAUCGGAAGUGCGAAUGCAGACAUGAGUAGCGAUAAAGAGGGUGAGAUGCCCUCUCGCCGAAAGACCAAGGGUUCCUGCGCAAGGCUAAUCCGCGCAGGGUGAGCCGGCCCCUAAGACGAGCCCGAAGGGGGUAGUCGAUGGGAACCACGUUAAUAUUCGUGGGCCUGGUGGUGUGUGACGGAUCAUGUGUGUUGUCAUCCCUUAUCGGAUUGGGAUGGCUUCGAAAUGGUUCCAGGAAAUAGCCCCACCGUAUAGACCGUACCCGAAACCGACACAGGUGGUCAGGUAGAGUAUACCAAGGCGCUUGAGAGAAGUGUCCUGAAGGAACUCGGCAAAUUGCCUCCGUACCUUCGGAAGAAGGAGGCCCUCACUAUGCGCAAGCACUUUGAGGGGGCACAGGCCAGGGGGUAGCGACUGUUUAGCAAAAACACAGGGCUCUGCUAAGUCGGCUUCAAGACGACGUAUAGGGCCUGACGCCUGCCCGGUGCCUGAAGGUUAAGUGGAGGGGUGCAAGCUCUGAAAUGAAGCCCAGGUAAACGGCGGCCGUAACUAUAACGGUCCUAAGGUAGCGAAAUUCCUUGUCGGGUAAGUUCCGACCUGCACGAAUGGCGUAACGACUUCCCCACUGUCUCCAGGACAUGCUCAGCGAAAUUGAAUUCUCCGUGAAGAUGCGGAGUACCCGCGGUUAGACGGAAAGACCCCGUGCACCUUUACUGCAGCUUCAGAGUGGCAUUAGGAAGAAACUGUGUAGCAUAGGUGGGAGGCUUUGAAGCAUCGGCGCCAGCUGAUGUGGAGCCAUAGGUGAAAUACCACCCUGUUUGUUUCUGAUGUCUAACCUCGUUCCGUAAGCCGGAACAGGGACCCUCUGUGGCGGGUAGUUUGACUGGGGCGG